CACGACGGGUCGCCGGAACGGUCGCCUCCGUGAGGCAGGCGCCGGGCCGAGCAGCCCUUGGGGUGAAGCCGCACCCGUGCGGCCGGGCAACUUCGCCAGCCCGAAUCCGACAGGUCAUCCUUCACAGGCGGCUGACGAAGGGUUG
rnacentral:ncRNA from 2 species